GACGAACGCUGGCGGCGCGCCUAACACAUGCAAGUCGAACGAGCGAGAGGAGGUUUACUUUCUCAAGCGAGUGGCGAACGGGUGAGUAACGCGUGAGGAACCUGCCUCAAAGAGGGGGACAACAGUUGGAAACGACUGCUAAUACCGCAUAAGCCCACGACCCGGCAUCGGGUAGAGGGAAAAGGAGCAAUCCGCUUUGAGAUGGCCUCGCGUCCGAUUAGCUAGUUGGUGAGGUAAUGGCCCACCAAGGCGACGAUCGGUAGCCGGACUGAGAGGUUGAACGGCCACAUUGGGACUGAGACGCGGCCCAGACUCCUACGGGAGGCAGCAGUGGGGAAUAUUGCACAAUGGGGGAAACCCUGAUGCAGCGACGCCGCGUGGAGGAAGAAGGUCUUCGGAUUGUAAACUCCUGUUGUUGAGGAAGAUAAUGACGGUACUCAACAAGGAAGUGACGGCUAACUACGUG
rnacentral:rRNA from 1 species